GGUUAAUUCCACUCCAAUAGUGUCUUUAAUUGAGGUCUAUCAAAUAGGACUUGCCUUUGUGUUAAAACGUGCAUUUAAAAUAAAUAUCGAUGUGGCGAAAGAGUCGCAUGGUGAGGGAGUGUCAAACAUUUCUGACUUGGAAGUGCAGUUCGGAAAGAUUUUGAAUGAUUUAGGCGCUGACCUUCCCUGUAAAACAGCAGAUGGCGCCAGAUCAUUAUCGAUUCAGCAGGGAGAUGGAUAAGAAAUCAGCCAUUUGCCAGCAGAAUGCCCAGUUAUUUCAGUUGGCGACGGCAGAGAGAUAAAACAAAACUUAAACAGGACAAGGGAAGGAAAAAUACAUGGGAAUUGUACCAAGUUCCCCAUUCCAUCCAGCCGCCGAUAAGUUUUCUAUUGGAUACAGACACCCAUCCCUCAGUUGGACUGCUUGAUGAGACAUAAUUUAGAAUAAAAUUUUGUGACUUCAGUAUCUUGUAACUGAAACUGAAAUUCUUUAAGUGAAUUUGAUUCAUUACGUCAAGCAUUUCAGCAACAAAUAGGAAACGAAUUUACCAGUUUGAUAUGUUUAAAAAGUCUUUACAAGAGAGGGACAGAGUUUACUUGACCGGCUAGCAUUUGAGAUUGGACUUAAACUGCGUGACUGAGUUCUUGAUCAGCCAGUUCUAGGCGCUGGGAAUGAUGCUGUCGUCCUGCUUCACAUCUAAAUUCGCAGCUCCCGGCGUUGGAAUCAUUGCUGACGUUUGGACAGCAAGCAAUCUGAAAGUUGUACCUUUUAAAAAUCAGUGCAGCAUUUAUUGCAGAGCUGGUCCCAGAACAAUGAAAGGGGAAUCUAAAAGUGGCAGAAUUUAGGAGCAGAGUUUGUGAAAUUUACAGGCUGUUUCCAUCAAACGAAAUCAGAAAAUGCUGAAAGUAUUCAGCAAAUCAGGACACAUGUGACCUUUCGUCAGAGCUCACUUUCCAGGAGGUAUGAAUACGACUGGGUUCCCGGGCUGUCGCUAUUCAGUGAUCAGGAGUGAAGUGCACUCAGUCCAUGUUUCUGUGACGUGUGGAUUAUAGUCUCCUGGAACUGACGCACUGGCCCAAGGCAGUGGAAUGAUCACAAAGAGAGUUGAUGCGUCUGAGUCUGGGACUCGGUGAAGCGAAUACAUAUCCUGAACAUAUAACGCUGAUGCCCUUUGACAGACGGCUCAACAGCUCAAUGACAUCACUGAGUGCGAGAAGCGUGGUAUAAAAAGCUCUUUACGGCCAGUCAUCAUAAGCAUCCAGUCAGUUCGGAGUCUGCACUACACUUUAUUCCACCAGGCAGUACCGGUCAUCUUACUGGGAUGUAACUGCACUGCCAAUAGCGUGGAGUCCUCCUCUCCUGAGACUAGGAAUAUUUUGAAUUGCACACUUCUCUUGUUGUAAUCAAGUGCCAUUCUUAUGUUGCCUUGGAUAUGAUACUUCGGCUGAACAGAUUAACUCCCAAUUAUUUCCGGCUAUUACAGAUGCAACUUGCGGGUGAGGCCACAGUCCAGAGUACUGACCGACUCAUUAACUUCUCUGCGCUGCUCCUUGCUGUAGGGGGUAUCGGUUUGUCCUCCUUUGGCACCAGAAGAAUGACUGAAGCAGCUGAAACCAUGGCAACAUUUGGAACAGAAGCAUCAGAACAGAGGAAUGAACUGCCCCAAAGUGAAUAAUGGACAAAUGAACACAUGACUCCCAGAAUAUAAAGUGUUCCCCUCUCUACAUUCUGUUUGAAUAGACAGACUAUAUUAAGAGGAGUAGCUGUUUAAAAUGAUUAGUUAAUGCAAUUGAUACUUCCACUCCUUCCUGAAGGGGAUCAAUGGGACAGUGAGAAUUUCAGACAAUCUCUUCAUGUAUGAUCACUCCUUCAUUGGGAGAGAGUGUUCACUGAGAUUCAGUACAAAGUUUCAAUGUGAUCAAGCAGCAACCAAGUUACACAUGGAAUAGAGUCAAAAAGUGUGGUGCUGGAAAAGCACGGCAGGUCAGACAGCAUCCGAGGAGCAGAAAGUCCACGUUUCGGGCAUAAGCCCUUCAUCAGGAAUGUUGCUGAAUGGCAUAAGCUUAUGUUGAGGAGAUGUUAUAAGAUGAAAGGCUUAUGCCCGAAACGUAGACUGUCCUGCUCCUCGGAUGCUGCCUCAUCUGCUGUGCUUUUCCAGCGCCACACUUUUUGACUCUGAUUUCCAGCAUCGACAGUCCUCACUUUCUCCUUAGGUAUGGAAAAUCUUAACAAAGUUUAUACUGACAGCAAAUAUGAUCAUUGCAUAUUUGAGUGUUCAGAGUCAAGUGUAACCCAUAAUCCUGUUUGCCUGUAUACCCCAUCAUUCUGUAUGGGGUGACAUCAUUCUCAGCUGAGGACCACACUCUCUCAGAAUUGCAAAGGACCCACUCUGUACUACAUCCUCAGGAGAAUUCAUACUCUCAACAAACAGU